rnacentral:lncRNA from 1 species
CCUGAGCGCGAUGGUUGUGCUUUUGGAGUUUCUUCUUCUUCUUCUUCUACUUCUUCGUCAAUCUACGAUGGGUUCCAGGUCGGUAGCUUGGGAUAGCAAGGAUGGAUAUCGUGCUUUUCUCGUUUGUUUUUGUCCAUAGACGGACCCUGCUCUUCUUCAUGAUGAUUGUAUGAAUUGUACUCAUGUGACUCUGAUGUAGCUUGUGGUGAGUGGAAGCCAACUCCUUAUACUCAUCUUUUCAGUACAUGUACUUGUAACGAUAUCCAUUCUUGCAAAACGACGAGAUGCAUUUCUAU